RUUUGUUCUUSGGARCAGAGAGAGCGGCGUACGGGUGCGGAACWYGUGUGCAACCUGCCUUUAUCAGGGGGAUAGCCUUUCGAAAGGAAGAUUAAUACCCCAUAAUAUAUUAGAUGGCAUCAUUUGAUAUUGAAAGCUGCGGCGGAUAAAGAUGGGCACGCGCAAGAUUAGAUAGUUGGUAGGGUAACGGCCUACCAAGUCAGUGAUCUUUAGGGGGCCUGAGAGGGUGAUCCCCCACACUGGUACUGAGACACGGACCAGACUCCUACGGGAGGCAGCAGUGAGGAAUAUUGGACAAUGGGUGAGAGCCUGAUCCAGCCAUCCCGCGUGAAGGAUGACGGCCCUAUGGGUUGUAAACUUCUUUUGUAUAGGGAUAAACCUUUCCACGUGUGGGAAGCUGAAGGUWCUAUACGAAUAAGCACCGGCUAACUCCGUGCCAGCAGCCGCGGUAAUACGGAGGGUGCAAGCGUUAUCCGGAUUUAUUGGGUUUAAAGGGUCCGUAGGCGGAUCUGUAAGUCAGUGGUGAAAUCUCACAGCUUAACUGUGAAACUGCCAUUGAUACUGCAGGUCUUGAGUAAGGUAGAAGUGGCUGGAAUAAGUAGUGUAGC
rnacentral:rRNA from 1 species